GACGAACGCUGGCGGCGUGCCUAAUACAUGCAAGUUGAGCGCUGAAGGUUGGUACUUGUACCAACUGGAUGAGCAGCGAACGGGUGAGUAACGCGUGGGGAAUCUGCCUUUGAGCGGGGGACAACAUUUGGAAACGAAUGCUAAUACCGCAUAAAAACUUUAAACACAAGUUUUAAGUUUGAAAGAUGCAAUUGCAUCACUCAAAGAUGAUCCCGCGUUGUAUUAGCUAGUUGGUGAGGUAAAGGCUCACCAAGGCGAUGAUACAUAGCCGACCUGAGAGGGUGAUCGGCCACAUUGGGACUGAGACACGGCCCAAACUCCUACGGGAGGCAGCAGUAGGGAAUCUUCGGCAAUAGACGAAAGUCUGACCGAGCAACGCCGCGGGAGUGAAGAAGGUUGUCGGAUCGUAAAACUCUGUUGGUAGAGAAGAACGUUGGUGAGAGUGGAAAGCUCAUCAAGUGACGGUAACUACCCAGAAAGGGACGGCUAACUACGUG
rnacentral:rRNA from 1 species